CACGUAGGGGGCAAGCGUUGUCCGGAUUUAUUGGGCGUUAAAGAGCUCGUAGGCGGCUCGGUAAGUUGGGUGUUAAACCCCAGGCUUAACCUGGGGACGCCACCCGAUACUGCCGUGGCUAGAGUCCGGUAGGGGAGCGUGGAAUUCCUGGUGUAGCGGUGAAAUGCGCAGAUAUCAGGAGGAACACCAGCGGCGAAGGCGGCGCUCUGGGCCGGAACUGGACGCUGAGGAGCGAAAGCGUGGGUAGCAAACAGGAUAGAU
rnacentral:rRNA from 1 species